AGAGUUUGAUCCUGGCUCAGAUUGAACGCUGGCGGAAUGCUUUACACAUGCAAGUCGAGCGGCAGCGCGGGGCAACCUGGCGGCGAGCGGCGAACGGGUGAGUAAUGCAUCGGAACAUGUCCAUGUCGUGGGGGAUAGCCCGGCGAAAGCCGGAUUAAUACCGCAUACGCUCGAGAGAGGAAAGCCGGGGACCGCAAGGCCUGGCGCGAUUGGGUUGGCCGAUGUCCGAUUAGCUAGUUGGUGAGGUAAAGGCUUACCAAGGCGAUGAUCGGUAGCUGGUCUGAGAGGAUGAUCAGCCACACUGGGACUGAGACACGGCCCAGACUCCUACGGGAGGCAGCAGUGGGGAAUUUUGGACAAUGGGGGCAACCUUGAUCCAGCCAUUCCGCGUGAGUGAAGAAGGCCUUCGGGUUGUAAAGCUCUUUUGUCCGGAGCGAAACGGUUGUGGUGAAUAUCCACGACUACUGACGGUACCGGAAGAAUAAGCACCGGCUAACUACGUG
rnacentral:rRNA from 1 species